ensembl:lncRNA
GUGUAAUGUGGUCUGCUGAAAAUGCCAUGUAUUGUGACCUUAAAAAAUAAUUGUGUCUAAGGUAUUGUUUUUUUUUUUUUUAAAAAACUCAAUUUAACUUAAAAGCAUUCAUUGUCUAUAAUCAUUGCACACAGUGCUGGGUUGUGUUAGGACACUCUGAGACAGUUAUGCUGUACGUUCUCCUCCACACAACCUUUCUUUCCUCCUCAUUCCUUCCUCGGAUUAUAUGCUGUUCCCCUAGAUAGGUUUCCUCUUCUGCUUUCAUGUCCUAUAUACAUACAUGAUUUUGUGUCUGUGUGAAGUCUAGGGACCACAAAUGAGAGAAAACUUCCUACAUUUCCCCCGAGACUGGCAUAAUUCUCUUUAUAUGACUAUCUCCAGUUGCAUCUGUCCUGAAGAUGGCAUAACUUUAUUCCUUUUUAUGAAUGCCACAGAACCUCGUCAUGCAUAUAUGUCACAUUUUCUUUAUUCAUUCCUGAUUGUUCCCGUUUUUUGUGGUUGUGAUUGUUGCUGUAAUCCACAUUGAUGUUGGAGCAGCUCUCUAACUUGUUGAUGGGAAGCCUUGUUUUGGUGAGUACUCAGGAGGAAGAGAGUUGGAUCAUAUGGUAGUUGUAAGUUAAGCUUUUUGAGGGACCUCUAUUCUGAUUUUCACAGUGGCUGGAUCAGUUUUUAUUCCACCAACAGUGCUAAGUGUUCCUUUUUUUGUCAACAUAUGUGUAGCGAUCAUUGAUAAAGGGCGACAUACUGACUGGAGUGAGAUGGAAUCCCAGUGUAGUUUUCAUUUCCAUCCCUCUGAUGGCUCAUGGUGUUGAGCAUCUUAUGCUUAUUGGCCAUUGUAUUUCACCUUUUCAAAGCUGUUUCUUCAGCCCAUUCAUUAUUUGGGUUUUUUAAUUUUGUGUGGCUUACUUUGUUGAGUUCUUUGUUUAUUCUAGACAUUGAUCUUCUCUCAGAUGAACAGCUAUUGAAGAGUUUUCUCCCAUUCUGUAGGCAGGCUUUUGUGGCAUUUUGGACAGCCCCAUUCCUAAGGUAGACAUUAAGCUUUCAACCCAGCCACUUCCUGUGCUGGUUUGGGAGGCUGUUUUCCUGGAACUGGAUCGUGUGUGUGUGUGUGUGUGUGUGUGUGUGUGUGUGUGUGUGUGUGUGUUAGUAGUAACAGUAGACACUCCAUGUCUGUCUGUAGUGUGUUCGGUAGUAGUAGCUGAGACUCCAUAUCUGUGGGGGUUAAUGAUUUACCCAGGGUAAGGAGAGCUGCCUUGUGUGGGUCAUGUUCUUGAAGUGCCAGAGAGAAGGGUGAUUUUUCUGACAUCCUCCAGCCUUCCUCUCCAUAUAUGGAAAUGUUUACCCACCACACUCAUCUAUUGGAAGGGAAGGAGGUGACUCAGGGUUUGGGAGAAGCAGGAUUUGAAUUCUUGUUUCCAGAAACCAAGUGGAGCCCCCUCCCCCGCCUCCUGCCCUUCCCCCUCCAUGCCUCUGCCCCUUGUUCUGGAGGCUGAAGAGAGUGCUGCUCAGCUCAGUUCCCCUCAGGCUUCUGGACCACAUCCCUGCUGUGUUCUGUCCUGGACCUGGCUUUGUGAGAGGGAGUAAGGGCAGUGAAGGCCCGCUGUCUAGCUGUCUAGCUGUCCGCGGUGGUGACCUCCUCACGUGGGAACUCAAGGACAGAAGCAGAGGUAACGAGUCAGCUGGUUCUGCAUUUGUCAUCGUUCGCUGUUCCUUCUUUGGAGGGGAGUUAUUUUCCCUGAGCUGGUGAGUCCUACAUAGGAAUAUGCUUCUUUUUUUUUUUUUUAAUAGCAAUAUAUAUGUUUAAAUUAGUUUUUAAAAAUAAUGGGUUCUGGAAACAAGAACUAGGAACUGGAGAAAUCUAAAAUGUUCAUUUAUUAUUAUUAUUAUUAUUAUUAUUAUUAUUAUUUUGAAUUGGCUUCAUGGCAACAGACUAGAUAUAACAAUGUCAAUAAAAUAUGUGGCAAAGCAAAGGUGGGCUUCACCUCUGGCAAGGUGGCAUGCAUAGACACUGGAAGAAAACUCAGUGACAACAAUGUCAUCUUGCCAGUAAUUGUAUGGCUCCCUUCUUUUUCCUUUGGCAAGAAGUGGAGUGUCCUCUAAAUUGAGAGACCGACAUGAAGAUGACAGGAAACAAUCAGAUGUUUCUUGUUUACUGCUGUGUAAUGUGCAUUUUUCUUUUGCAACCUCAUUUAUUUUCCAGUCAAUCUUUGGAGGUGGAGAGGGCUAAUUUAGUUUGGCAGAGCAUGGGGGCCUCUGGUUUAAUGACCUGCUGUUGUUGCAGUGAGAGUUGUGUGCGGAUUUUGUUGCUGUCUGUUGGAAAGGUGACCAGAUGUGUUUGUUGUCUUGCAGUGGUUCUCUAUUUCACAGGCAGAUAGGUAUGAUGGAUAAGGCACAAAGAGUCAUCUGUAUGGUGUGACCUGGCAGUGCCUUGGUGACGAGCUGAGGGAAAGUUGGUAGGGGAUUCUUGCUUCUACUGACUCUAGUUCUGUGGUCUCCAUGAUGAGGUUUAGUCCCUAUCUACUACAAGGACUGGCAUUAAACUACAGGCAUAUAUACCUCACUCUGAGUGUUGUGGAGUUUUUCAAAACAGUGGAUGCUGUUGUGAUUGCAACUGACUUCAUCCUUGUGUUUUGACAUUUUGUUUUCUUAAUUGUUGUUCCACGUCUUUCAUUGGAUGGUUGGUCUUUGGCUUUGACUUUGCAGUAUUUAUUAAACUCUCAAACAUGGACUUGACUACUCCCCCCACCCCCAGGUUAUGGUUAUAGCAUCAAUGGGAAGCUUUGUUACCUGCUUCACCUUUCGAGUUUCUCAGUGUGUAUAAGGUCAAACUGUGGUAGCCUUGAACAUGAAUUUAAUGAACUCUAUGUUAUAAUGGCAGAACAGGAAAGACUGCCUUAAAGAGUCAGCUGGAAGAGGCCCGGAAGUUUCUGUUAUCCUUAGUUUGUUAGGAUUCAACGGUGACUCUGGCUUCUGCAGCACUGACAUGGCCAGGGCAUGUGUUAUUUGGAAUGAGGUGGAAGGGUGACCUUGCAACCUCAGAAGACCUGGUUCAGAGUGAGGUGGCUUUGGGCUCAACUUGAGCAGGGUGCCAGCGCCGAUGCUCUGCAGUGUUCUUUGUUUUGUCCCUUUUUGUUGCUGGCUUUAUCAUCCUCAAGAUAUCUGCCCAGUGACCGGGCUGAAGACAUCUGCGUUCCUGUUUGGAGGAUAGAGAUCCUUGCUGCCAUGUUCACAAAGGCUUUAGUUACUACACAGUGAUGAACCUGUUACUGAGGCUGAAAGGAUAGGACUGUGCUAAUUGGAAUAUACACACCAGAGUGUGUCCUGCUCAAACCUCAGGGCAGCCACACAGCACAGAUGAAGUGGCUCUUCAGAGCAAUUGUACUUUUGGGGAGAAAGGACUAGAAGCCUUGCUCUUAGACUUCAGGAGAGUGUGAUGCUUCAGUGCAUGAGUCAUCUUCUGGAAGGGAUGUUAGCCAGCUGGACUCUACAAAGAUACUGAGAGGACCAAAAUGAUGUGCCAUCAAGAGCCGCUUACAAGAGUGAGAUUGGAAAAGGCAGGAUGCUGGGUCAUAUACAAUCUUGACCUUCAAGAAUAUAAUACCCACGGGGCUGGAGUGAUGGCUCAAUGGUUAGGCGCACUGACUGCUCUUCUAGAGAACCCAGGUUCAAUUCCCAGGACCCACAUGGCAGCUUACAACUAUAUGUAACUACCAAGAUCUGACAUCCUCACAUAGACAUACAUAAAGGCAGAACACCAGUGCACAUAAAAUAAAAAAAAUGGAUUUUUUAAAAAAUAUAAUACCUAGUCAGAAGAAGGACAGUGUUUGCCUUCUGUGUCCCAUGUCUAAUGGGUCAUCUGGUACAUAAAAGGCACAUGACACAGCUUCAUGCAUAGAAGAAUAAACCUGAACAUGUGAGUGUCCCAUUUCCCCAGGCUGCUCUACGAGGCCCUGACUGAAUCUGUUGGCUAGAAAUAGGCUUUUUUAGGGCAGUGUGGCUUCAAACAUUUAGUAUGGGUGCCGGCAAAGGUAGAGAGUAUGGCGGGAUGGGCUAACAGAAAGCCUGCCAAAUGUUAGCCUUUCUUUGCCUUCAUUUUCCUAAUCUCAGGUUUUUAGGUUACAUUGAUUGUCUGAUGGCCUCUUAUAUUUGCUUUGUGCAAGUCUGUUGGCAGUAGUUUAUCAAGUGUGAUUCCUUUAUAGGUUAUUGUUAAUUGUUUUCUCCAUCAAGAUUCAAAAUGAGUUAAAGGGGAAGCAAGAUACUGUAAAGGCUGAGUCUAGCACUGUCCCUGGGAUGUAGUACUUAGCUUGGCGGUCAUCCUCCUCCACACACAGGCCCUGUCCUCGCCAAGACUAGAAGAGCAGUAACUCGUUCUGAGUCUCAGAAAGAAACUAGAUUUAGGGCUUUAAAAAACAAAAAACAAAAAUCAUUAAUGUUGAAACCUAAAGCAGGAAGAGGUUCCAGGAGGCAGAUACAGAGACCUGCGAUGUGGAAUCCUUAAGAGACCCAGAUUAGCUGUAGUCUAGCCUCAGAGAUGGUUGCUUUGUUUGUUCACAGAAUCACGCCUUCUGCCCUGAGCAUGCCUGGCCCAGUGGGAGUCAGGAAGGAAAUGAUUUCCCUCUUUGGAUAUCAACGUACAAUUGUUGUAGCCAAGCACUUUGAGUUUUAAUAUUUCCGUUUGGGUCUUAAGAGCUACCAGGUAUUAGUGUCUGCCGGAAGCAAAACAGUGGUCAUUUCUGUUAGAGGUGUAUGUCUUGGCUCCCUGCAGUUACUUGGCCAGGUGGUUUCUGAGCAUUUGUCACCAUCUGUUGAGCCAGGUUUCAUUUUUACUUACUUGUUUCACAAAUUACAAGGGGACUUACUGAGUGUGAACCGAGGCCCAGGCUGUCUCCCAGAGUCUGUGGGUCUUCAUGUAAUGUAGGGCCACUUUGUAGAUAAGAUUGCUGUCAGUUAAUAAAAGGGAAAUACUCUCAUUCAACCUUUCUCCUAGUCCCACAGUACUGUUUCUUGGAUUUCAGUGCAGUGAGGAUGACUCUUUCUUUCCUUGCCACAGACCUAGGACAUCAGCGUUGUCUUUAAGAGUUCUUUCUCAUUGGGUUAUUUUGUGGUAGAAGGUUUCUGAACCCUGCAAGGAUAAGUGGAAGAUUCCUUGUACUGUUGCCACAUGACUGCUUCUUGUUAUAGUGUAUGUAGUUUUCUUCUUUGAGUCUAGUAUUUGUCAGAAAUUUACCAACUCCAGAGGUUUUUUUUCCUUCCUGCAGUGGAGUCCUGGAGAUUGAACCCAUGGCUUUGUAUAUGAGAAGCAACCUCUCUGGCACUGAGUUACAUGUGCAGUUGGUCUUAGACUCCUUAGGAUAUUGUGGUGUUAGGUACACUCCCUGGUCUCUAGAAGCUUGUAACUUUGAGGAAUGAUGCAUAGAGAAGAAAGUCACACACAAUGGGAAGAGAUGUAUAGAGAAAAUAGUUACAUACAAUGGGAAGAGAUGUGUAGAGAAGAUAGUUAUAUCCAAUGGGAAGAGAUACAUAGAGAAGAUAGUUACAUACAAUGGGAAGGGAUGCAUAGAGAAGAGUCACACCCAGUGGGAAGAGAUGCAUAGAGAAGAGUCACACCCAAUGGGAAGAAAUGCAUAGAGAAGACAGUUAUAUCCAAUGGGAAUAGAUGCUUAGAGAAGAGUCACACCCAAUGGGAAGAGAUGCACAGAGAAGAGUCACACACAAUGGGAAGAUGGUUGCUUACAGUAUUUUUAUUUGUCAAGCCGUAUGAUAUUGGGACAAGGUAAGUAAAUCACCACCUCAGAUCUCCCGGGGCCCAGACAAAGGGUGUGGAGAGUGUAGAGGAUGGGGAUCAUGGGGACAGUUUCCACGGGAGGAUUUAUCUCUAAGGGAAGCCCAGUUGGAUGGUAUGGUGAGCCUGUGACCAUGGUUUAGGCAACAGUGUGGCCAGUCAGUAUCUGAGAAUGGAAGUGGAUAAUAUCAAAAUGUGACUGAUCAGGGUGGAAUUUCCUGUGUGCUUCUGUCUCCAGCUCAUCUCUAACCCUAAGAUGAAAGUGCUGUGCUGACUUUUUAUACACAGGCGUUAUAUUCACAGUUAUGUGUGUGUGACCAGGGUGUCCCUGGGUCUGUGUCUCAGAGCUAGAAAGCAUGUAUUCAAGCCAGGUGGUGAUGGCCCACACCUUUAAUCCCAGCACUCAGGAAGCAGAGGCAGGCAGAUUUCUUGAGUUUGAGGGCAGCCUGGUCUACAGAGUCUGUUUCAGGACAGCCAAGGCUGCAGAGAAACCCUGUAUUGGAAAAAAACAAAAAAGAAACAGAAAAAACGAAAUAUCUAUUCAUCCAUUAUUCAUACAGGUCAGAGACCUGGCAGCUUAGGUGGGUCCCUCAGCACUUCUCAUGAGGUUGCAGGAGAGUUUUCCCAUCCCUGUAGUCUCUCCUAAAGGAUCUCCACAAAGCCCAGUCAUGUGACUGCAUUAUGGUGUAAAUAACUCCUGUCAGGUUGGUCUGAGGGUUUCCACUCCUGCUGUGCAGCUCUGUCCGUGGGGCAAGCUUCUAGGAAGGCAGUUGGCUUCUCUGAGUGUCAAAGGUUUUCCAUGUUGUAAGCCACGGUCUUUGCUUUUAAAAAAUAAAUUAAAUUUUUAAUUACCAACACUGGAAAUGAUACCCUGUUCUCUGUGUUAGCUGUGUUUCACAUGGGGAAUGAGAGGGAAAUGACAUGACUCCCAGGAUGUGGGUUAUAUAGGAUCUGAGGAAUUCCUGGUUACUGAUUUCCAGGCUAUCUAGGAUAUGCUGAGAGUCAGGGCUUACCUGAAGCUACCGAAUAAACUCAGCAUCUUUGUAGAUCAAUUUGCCUUGGAAACUUUUUGGAGGAAAAUUCCAUUAGAAAUUCGAAAUGAAGACAUUGAUACACAACAGCAUGGAAUGCAAAAUUUUCCUGUGUUUCUGGAGGAGAAUCCCAAGCUCUCAGCUCAUGCCACCCUUUCCUGCUCUGCAUUUUUAGUUUUCCUCAGCAGUCAGAGCCGCUUUGCUGGAAAUGACUGGAAUUCAUACAGCUUGAGCCCUAAGCUGUAUAGGUGAGAUGCCAAGAGCUGGGGAGGGGACAGACCUGCCUCAGUGUGUCCUGCAGGGAGAAUUCAGGAAGUUCCUCCCAAUACAUUCUUUCCCCCCCAAUCUGGCCACCUUGGCUCUUUGUAAUGAGUCCUUGUAACCUUUAGGCAUAUUUUCAUUUCUUUUUCUAACCUCUCUUCUUUUCUAGAAAUGGAUUAGGUAAAUGUAGGUUAAAAUUGGCUCCAUCUUGUCCCUUUCAUUACAUUUCAGGGAUGGGCUGCCUCUGUUGGGUCACACUGUGUCCUGAGAAGUUGAAUAAAUCAGUAUUUCUUGGCGCAGACAGUGUGUCUCUGUAGUUAUGAAUAACAUUUGCAUUAGGAACAGAGAGCUGUUGCACAACAGUGCUGUGGGGAUGACGGGAUCAGACAGGAAGCCUCAGCCAAUACCUUCUGUCUGGCAGAGAGUUUCUUUCCAGGGCAUCCGUCUCUUUUCCUGACCCAAAUAGUCUUCUCAUAAAAACAGGCUCGGCAGGUCAUCUUAUAGAUGGAGUCACAUUCCCAUGGUGUUCAUCUUAAUCGCUUCUCUCAAAGUUAAUGGAAAUGAGAGAUUGAAAAUCAGGGUCAAGGUUAUUAGUAACCCGGGAGCCCAAGAGGGAGGAAAGCAUAGCUGUGGUCAUUAAAACGGCUACUGGCCAGAAAGUCACUACUCCCUGCUUGAUGGUCUCUUUCAACUCUCCAUUGUUAGUAUCCUCUCAGUGCCCUCAAAGUGUUUCAUACCCAUGAUUCAUUUGUGCUGUGAGCACAUUGGAAGACAUAGAGUUCUAUGGCUGAAGACAACACAGUAAGGGUGAGUUUAGAUGCAGAGUCUUACUUAAGUAUUUUGAUUGUGGGAUAUAAGGUGCCACCCUCACACUUACCUCUCUGUGCUCCAAAGAGUGUUGUGAACAUGCAGUGCCUGCUGAGUGUGCUACGUACUAUGUAGUUGAUAUAUCAUUAGUUUUAUCUCUUCUUCCUUUUAAGAUGUAUUCACUUUCAUCUUACCUGAGUGGCUUUCUGCCUGCAUGUUUGUGCACCACAUGUGUGCAGUGCCUGCAGAGGCCAGAAGAGGGCACCCUAUUUCCUGGACCUGUAAUUGAAGGCUGCUGUGAGCCACUCUAAGUGAUGGGAGCUGAACCUGGGUCCGCUAUGAGAGCAGCCAGUGCUUUUAACUGCUGAGCCAUCUCUCCAGCCCCAAAUUUCUUUUUUUCUUGGGCAUGUGUAAUUCUUUGCUGGAGGUCACUCUUAGUCCUUCUCGGUUGUACCUUUCUCUUGUUGACACUUUGCAGAGUUCUCAUGGCUGGGGAGCAUCUUCAGGGUUGGUGCAUCAGUCACUGCAAAUUUCAUGUUUUCCUGAAUAACCAAAAGUCUCACUGUCGCUCAAUUACCCUAGUGGCUUCUGCAGCUUACAUUCAGACACCUCAUGAUGCUCAUCUAUUCUGGGAUUGGGAAAUAGUGGUUCUGAGAAAAAUGCCAAUAAACUGUUUGGUGAGGGAGGCUUUGGGGGCACCAAUAGUGUGUAAGCGGUGUUUUCCCCCAAUAGAAGGAUGAACCACAUGCAAGUGCUGGUGGCCACCUCUGCAUCUGUGAAUGGUGUCAUCUCUAGACCUGCUCAGUGCUGACCCUCCUUGGUUCCUCCUUGGGCCUGUUUAGCAUAGAAUUACCUCACUGCCUCAAUGGCAACUGACUUGAAUUAUAUUGGUUAUUAAAAAUGAUCUAAUAUUUUCCUUUUAAAUCAGUGGGCCUGGCUCAUUCUCUGAUUUAAGCUAGUGAUUUAUUUAUCAUAAGGUACGAGACGGCUGUAGCCACUCUAUGAUGUAAUCUAAGAAACGACAUGAAAACAAAAUAGGCUUUUACAUAAUGAAAAUAUUCCUGUAAUACAGUUUACAUUAAGGAUGGAGGUAGGCUUUGAUGUUCUCAUGCCCUCCAUUCUUAGCUCUCCUUCCUGUUUUGAGUUUUUAUGCCAUUAAGCUAAUUUCACCAGGAUCAUGUAAAACCGCCCAAAGCCUGCUUUAUUCUUCUAUCCUUGUCUUGCCCAGUCCCCGCUUCUCUGUGCACUGUUGUCCUCUGUGGCUCCUAUUGCCUCCGCCACUGUGCUUCUCCCUGCAGCGUCCCCCCUCAGCCAGUGUACCCUGCUCCUGAGGUGUUAUCUGCUAGACAGAACUGUUCUGUACAUAAACGCGUGUACACUACAGGCUAGUGGGCACCUGUGCCUUUCAGCCCUCCAGAGCCUGUGCCCCUUGUUAGAAACCUUUUAUGCGGACCUCUCAUAGCUUCACGUGGUAGCAAAGAGUAGCCACGCAUUAUCAGACUUCGUGGAGGAAAUGGGCUUGCUUCUUCUAGAUUGGCUCUUCUCCUGAAAUUUGUCCAGGUUGUGGCCUGUCCAUUGGCCUCAUUUUUCCUGAGCUGAGGAAUGGGUGGUUUGUAUUUCAUUUUCUGUGGUCCAAGGAUUUAUUGACAGGGUAUCCUGGAGGGGGUGGGGUGGAAAGGAUCCCGGUGCUGCAUGCUGUUUAGUUGAAGCCAGUUUAGCAAAUCUCCUGUGCUAAUGGCAGAGAAUCCAGAGUGAAGGCAUGUAGGUAGUUGCACUAGGGAGUUUGAAGCUUCUCCUGUGCAUAGGAGGGAGGACUCAGCCAGGUACUUGCUGUGUAAGCCUGAGGAAUGAGUUUCAUUUCUAGAAGCCAUGUUUAAAGAAAAAACAAAAACUGGUUUGGUGGUGGCUACCUGUAAUCCCUAUGUUGGGGAGGUAGAGAGGCUGCUUGGUGAGCCCUGGGCCAAUAAGAGACCGCGUUUCAAACUGUAGGGCAGAUGAUGGUGAGAAAGAAGGACACCGGAAGUUGUCUUCUAGCCUUUGCACACGUGCCAUCAGACAGUAAAUAUUUAAAUCAAAAUAUUGUUGACUUUUAAGUGCCUUUUCCAAGGCCUCAUAGCAAAGUUGUAGCACUAAACUCAAUUCUCAGUUACAGAGAAGUUUAACAGCUCCGUACUCUAAUGCCAUGUUUAUCUGUGCAUGUUGGUUGAAAGAGUUGAUAACCUUGGAUAAGGAGUAGAAGGUUCCUUACUUACAGGAGCCUGUUGCAAGACUUCGGAAAUUCUGUGUCUCUACAGUUAGGUAGGGCCAGGAGUUGACUUUGUCUUUUUUU